GGUGGAGGUUGUAGUGAGCCAAGAUGCACACCACUGCACUCCAGUCUGGUGGACAAGAGCAAGACUUUGUCUCAAAAUAAAUAAAAUAAAUGUCCAGUUAGAAAUAGUCCAGCCACAGAAGAGGGAGGUUAGUUUGUUACUAGCCUAUAAUGAGAUAAGUACAGGAAUUGAGAUUGCUUAGAAACUUUUAUACCAAUUUGACACAGAAAGCUUUUGUCUGCUGAAUAUUUAAAUGAAAUUCUUUCUACCAAAAUAUACAUUUUAGCCACUCCUGACUUGUCUCUCUUCUUUGGCACAUCAAUAAGAUAACUGAACAAAGACACCUCUAUCUGAAUAGAAGAAAACGACUGGUUCUAAGAAUCAAAGAAUCAGAAACUGAAGAAAAGUAGCAGACCAUCUAACCUGCCUGCAGUUAGGGAAACACUUUUCUGCCUGAAAUUCCUGGACUUUCUCCCUCUUAAAGAUUUCUCAAGAUGGAAACUCCAAAGUCAUUCCUGUGGAGAGAUGGGGGCACACUUUGGUGCCCAGGCUGCAUCUGUGGCUGUUGAUACUGGGCCCAUACCUUUGAACAGUGAGCACAGAUAACAAGAAUACCUGCCGACUUGGCCCAAGCAGCUUGAUUUUCCUCAGGUGUCCCAAAGAUAUUAGAGGCCAUUUUGUUCUUCCUCACAGGUUGUUCUGUUGGUUCAUCAAAACCUAAUGAAAAAUUGGAUCCACCACCUGGAGGCCGCAAAACCCUACAAAUAAUGGCAAAACAUCAACUUCAGAUCAUACUGCAACAUUUCUUGGCAUAAAUCUUUUCAGACAACUUUCAUUUCACUUUCCUCACCCAUUCAUUUCCCUCACCCCUACAACAGACAGCUGCUAACAGGAAAAAGGAAUCAACUUCAUCAGCGUGUACAUUCAAUGCUGGAUGUGAAGAUACUAAAUACUGCUUUAUAAUGCUUGUAAUGCGGUCAUGGAUAACACGAGGCAGCUGAAACAGCGUGGAACUCAUCACAAUUAACAGCCUGGCUGGCGUCACCUUUUCAGAAAUGGCAAAAGACCUACUGGACCUUACUCUACUGGGCUUGGCAGAAUAUAUUUGCAAAGAAGUUUAGAAACA